CUUUUGUAGAGCGCCGCAGGUGGCCUUGGCUAAGCCUGUUCUUCCUAAACAAGCUGAAGCAGAUGCACUUGAGAAAGCUGGAAAGACCCUGGAGACAGUGGGACGGCUUCUGCAGGGUGAAAAUGUGGCCUUCGACGAGGAGGUCCAAGAACAUUUGGUCAACGCUCUCCGGGUAGCGUCUAACAAUGGCGAAGUCUUGACCGAGGAAGGUUCGGAGUACAUCCUGCCAAUCAUCAUUCGUGGUGUUGUUCAGGGUGCCAUCGCCCACGUUGUUCAGAAGAAGUUGAACAAGGGCUAAUGACACUGCCAGUGAAUAACUACUAGGCGUUAACUGCAAUGUGACAAAAAAAACAAAUACCAGGAAUUCCCGAGCCGAGGACUUGCUCAUGAUUUGUAGAGUCACGUGUGAUUCUACGGCUCGAAAUAAAACUUUGCUGCGUUCAUUGAAUUUCAA